CGCGGGGUUCUCCCUCACGCGGACCUGCCACGUGGCCUGGACGGAGGCCGUUCGGCCUGGGCAUCAGGAUGAAGCCUGGUCCUGGGUCUACACUGGGGCGGGCCCUGUCCCUGGUGAGCAGAGCCACAGCUCCCUGGUCUGCAGCUGUGAGGAUGCUCCAGGCCUAGGGACUCGGACAGCACCAGGAAGUCUCGCCUGGGAUUAGCGACAGUGUGACCCGCGAGAGAACCCCAGCGCUGCCUGGACCUGGGACUGUCUCUCCAGCGUCCUGCUAAGCAAACACCAGUGUGGCAUUUCAAGGUGACAGGUAAACACAGAGGACGAGCGGGUCCGGGCUCCCCAGCGAAGCGGAGGAAGACGUCGGGAGGGCGGGGGACCCGCGAGCCAGGCCCCUCCCCGACCCACCGCCUCCGAAGCCGCCUCCCUGAGCGGACCUAGGGGUCGCUGCGAGGUGAGAUCUGAGCUCCGCCCUGCCAAGUCCUGCAGAGGGCCCUGACGCCGGCGGUGGAGGAGACCGGACUUCGGCUGGGGACCCGGUGCACCCGGGUGCGUGGGCAGAGCCGCAGCAAGGCGGGCGGGGAGCGCUGGAUAAUGGGAUUUAUUAAGGCCAUUCAUCCUGAAGUCACAUGGAAAGUGCCACGUUUGAAUGAUGAAACGCAAGCCUGAAUAUCCAAAAAGCACUAGAACUCCCUUCCCAGGAAAACUGCCUUUCAAACCUUUAAAAUGAUGCCCUUUAAGGAGAACACAAACUAUCCCUGUGAUGUAGCCAUAAAGCAGAAGUAGAAAACACAACAGCUCAAUUUAAGAAAAUGUGAAAAUUACAUGGCCCUGGUGAAAUCCCAGACACAGAGUCAAGUGAAAACAGCUGUGGAUACAAAGGCCAUGUGGACAGUGGGAGGCUAGGUGUCUCGAGGGGGCGAGGAAGGAAUUCUGGCUGUGGAGCCCCUGUGCACUUGCGGAGGGCCAGUCACGUCGCAUGCUGCUGGCACUGAGCAGGUGUUGGUCACUUAGAUGACACCGGUGGCUGAAGCCCCCAACACUGUGCUGACCGAUGGGAGCAGGACUCAGACAGGAGCACAGGCAGACCUGCAGGAAGACCCUAUGGCACAGGAAGCAGAAGAGCCAGUCACCACGUGCUGCAAGUGUGGUGGCUCCUGUGAGCCUCCGGGUUGGUGAGGAUGAGACAGAGCAGGCACAGACUGCGCACAUCUCCGCCUCCUCGGCACCUGUGAAAGCCGGGCUGGUGAAUGCGUCCUCUCCAGCUCUCUCUCUCUGACAUUGCACUGGCAUGAGACAGAAAUUCUAUGCAGGAAUCAGGGUCCUCGUUCAGAUAAACGCACCCCACCCUGUCCAGAGUCACCGGCGGGUGGACAUAGGGCGGAGCUUCCACAAACAGGAAGCAACACGGCCAACCACGGGUGUCUGCAAGCAUUGACCCCUGGCUGUGUGCUGGCCCUGUUCUGGAGUGAGAGCCCUGCUAAGGCAGGCCCUCUAGCUGCCCGCGGUCGACCUGGCUGGAUGGGGGGACUUAAGGGACCUGUUCUAGCUGUGCCAGCCCCACGGGCUGCUCUCCCCGGGGACAGCUUCGCAGCCUGUCAGUUGCACCAGCGGCCGCCUCUGCAGCCCAAGGCACCCGACUGAACGCCCUCAAGUCCCAGUCAGAAGAAAAACUAUGCCUGGGAGAAAACGCAAGAUGAGUACGACUCCUCUUGCUUUAAUUAAGUUUGAUCGGAGGUUGUGCUGCAUCUAGGAAAGCCAGAGCCAAUUUUCGCAGUGUGGUUUGCAAAGCAAAGGCGUGUCUUCGAAGACUACAGGAGAACACAUGUCCUAAACGUGGCCCGGGGUUACCGAGCUGUACCUUCAGGCAGUUCACAUGGAGAGCAAAUGCUCUGCGGCUCCUAGGGGCUCAGGCUCCAAACCAGAGCAAAUCGUCUGCUUUUCAAUUCCUGGCAGCUCAGAUUCUCCUGCUAGCUUGGAAGAUGCCCGGCGUGGGUCCAGCUCCCCAGGGCAGACGUCCGGGACGUGUAAUCUGGAUCCAGGAUCAGAUCUUCGCCAGCUCUCCAGACCACUGCCCUGCUGCCUGUCCUGCAGACCCAAGGUGACCAGUUAGCCUGGAAAGGUGGCAUCAGAGGAGGCCAAACUCAGGACUGAGCACCCGGCAAGGGAGUCAAGAUGGUGGCUGUGGAGGGGCCACCUCAGUUCACUGCUGUGGGAGAGGACAGGAGCAUGCAGAGUCUUCUGCAGAGCAGCGUCAGAGUAGCAUCAAUUUCUUUAAAUUAAAUACAUUAAUUUAAAUUAAUAUGCACAGUUAUUUACUUUCUGCUGAUGGAUGGAAGCAAAGGUCAUGAUUUGUUAAAGAGCUGAUGAAAGUUAAGAGUUUUCCACAAAAAAGUGCAUACAGGGAUACACCAAUAGUUUUGCAUAAAAUAUGCAAACAUAUAUGUAAAAUAAAUUUUUUCUUCUGUAGGGCAGCCAUAAUACUAUAUAUAAAAGACCUAACAAUAAAACAUUGAAAAACACAAGAGAAUUUUGAGAAAUAUGAAAUGAGCUAAAGGAAUACCUAAGUAAUUAAGAAGACAUCCACUUCUCUGGAUGUGAAGAAUCCGUACUGGUGGCCGUGGCGUCGGCAUUGAGCGGGGAGUCUGGUGCAAGAGAUUGUAUGAGAUGGUGUAUGAGAUUUGACAAGGUGUGGGGUGGCAUUCCUGCUGGUGUUCCACAUCAAAUGUCAUGUUUGCUGGGGUAUUCUGUUUUAGGCACAUACAGAUGGGAAUGUGAAGAGACAUAUUCACUACAUACAUUACAUACAUACAUUGUAUUAGUCAGCUUUCUCAUUGAUGCACACAGUACCAAAACCCACAGCUUAAAGGAGGAGAAGUGCAACUUGGCUCAUUUUUUGAAGGGAUUCAAUCCAAGGUCAGCUGGCUCCAAGGCAAGAACAUCAUGGCGGAAGGGUCUGGUGGAGCAAAGAUGCUUCGUUCAUGGUGGCCAGGAAGCUGAGCAGGGGAAUAGGCCAGAGAGGAAGGGUCCUAGGGCCAGAUCUAGAUCCCAAGAGCACACCCCCAUGACCUACUCAGACACAGCUAAAGUGUGUUCCACUUUGGGAUCAGAUCCCAAAGCCAAUCAAGGUGACACCCCACCCUAACCUCUAUAGCUAUGUAUCAACAUACACAUGUAUAUACACAUAAAAGUCAGAUAACAUGGAGAUGGAGGCAAUAAACAGAGAAAGUUGAAAAUCUGCAGCCUAACUCACUUUAUUUGUCAGCUUUCCAGUCACUGGGAUACAAUACUGGACACCAACAAAUUAUAAGGAGGACAGGUUUAAUUUGGCUCAGGGUUUGGGGGAUUCAGUCCACGGUCAGCUGGCUCCAAGGCAGAAAUAUGGUGGAAGGGAUAGCCAAAGAAAGCUGCUGCUCACCGCAUGGCGGCCAGGAAACAGAGAGAGGGGAGGAGCCAGGGACAGCAAUCCACCCUUCCUGGCCACACUCCAGUGACCACCUCCAAUCAGACCCCACCCCCAACAGCACAUUCAUCCAUGAACUUAUCCACGACUAACCUACUGACGAGUACAGUGCUCCUAAGACCCUAUCACCUUCCAAAAGCCCACCUCUGAAUACAUGAGACUUCGGG
ensembl:lncRNA